AAGAAAAUGUUAUUGUCUUUCAUUGGGAAAGGAACAGAAAUUAACAAUUGAACUCAAACUUGAGUUACUUCCCUGAAGUUUGUGCAUAUUUUCUGUUUCAUUGUAAAUUAUGUAUUCGAAUCUUGUGAAAAGACAAACAUUAACAUGAAACAGGGACUUAAUUCCUAUAGUACACCAAACACUGAAAGAACUUCCAUGCACUGAUUAGAGUUCACCAAGAUUUUGAAAGAGGAGUCAUGAAUCAUCAUAUUGAUAGGAAGUGAGAUCUUUUAUUAAAUCCAAUAGAUUGUUGAAUGUGUCAUAAAAGUCACAACGAUAUAUAAUCUACCUUCCACAAUCAUACAGACAAACAGUUCAUAGGAAUUCAAGAUCUGAUACGUUAUCCAGAUGAAGAAAGGAAGGCAACUUCAAAUAUCCCACAAUAUGAUAAAUGAGAAAGAAAUACCCAAAUGUCCUGAUUGUAAUUUAAAUAGCA